rnacentral:misc_RNA from 1 species
GAUGAAGAACGCAGCGAAAUGCGAUAAGUAAUGUGAAUUGCAGAAUUCCGCGAAUCAUCGAAUCUUUGAACGCACAUUGCGCCCGGCAGUUACUCUGCCGGGCAUGCCUGUUCGAGCGUCAUUUCAACCCUCAAGCCCUCCAAGGCGCUUGGUGUUUGGGGACCGGGCGGAGCUGUUUACAGCGCCCUCGGCCCCGGAAAUGCAGUGGCAGCCCCGCCGUUGGCGACUCCUUGCGUAGUAGUGUAUUCAACUCGCAUCGGGCCCCCGGUGGAGGCUUCGCCGUAAAACCCCUCCUUUCUUUCUGAAGGUUGACCUCGAAUCAGGUAGGAAUACCCGCUGAACUUAAGCAUAUCAAUAAGCGGAGGA